rnacentral:rRNA from 1 species
AUACGGAGGGUGCAAGCGUUAUUGGGAAUCACUGGGCGUAAAGGACGCGUAGGCGGGUUGGCAAGUCAGAUGUGAAAUCCUACAGCUUAACUGUAGAACUGCAUUUGAAACUGCUAACCUAUAGUAUGGGAGGGGGAGAUGGAAUUAGUGGUGUAGGGGUAAAAUCCGUAGAUAUCACUAGGAAUACCGAAAGCGAAGGCGAUCUCCUGGAACAUAACUGACGCUAAGGCGUGAAAGCGUGGGGAGCAAACAGGAUUAGAUACCCGAGUAGUCC